rnacentral:rRNA from 1 species
CCCGCUGAACUUAAGCAUAUCAACAAGCGGAGGAAAAGAAACUAACAAGGAUUCCCCUAGUAACUGCGAGUGAAGCGGGAAAAGCUCAAAUUUAAAGUCUGGCGGUCCUCUGGCCGUCCGAGUUGUAAUCUGGAGAAGCGUUUUCCGCGUCGGACCGUGUACAAGUCUUCUGGAACGGAGCGUCAUAGAGGGUGAGAAUCCCGUCUCUGACACGGACCGCCGACGCUUCAUGUGAUACGCUCUCGAAGAGUCGAGUUGUUUGGGAAUGCAGCUCAAAAUGGGUGGUAAAUUCCAUCUAAAGCUAAAUACUGGCGAGAGACCGAUAGCGAACAAGUACCGUGAGGGAAAGAUGAAAAGCACUUUGGAAAGAGAGUUAAACAGUACGUGAAAUUGUUGAAAGGGAAACGUUUGAAGUCAGUCGCGUCGGCUGGGACUCAGCCUUGCUAUCUUGCUUGGUGCACUUCUCGGUCGACGGGUCAGCAUCAAUUUUGACCGUCGGAUAAAGGCCGAGGGAACGUGGCAUCCUCCGGGGUGUGUUAUAGCCCUUGGUUCGCAUACGGCGAUCGGGAUUGAGGAACUCAGCGUGCCUUCAUUGGUCGGGGCUUCACGGCUCACGUUAACGCGCUUAGGAUGCUGGCAUAAUGGCUUUAAGCGACCCGUCUUGAAACACGG